CACGGGGGGAGCAAGCGUGGUUCGGAAUCACUGGGCGUAAAGGGCGUGUAGGCGGUCAGGUAAGUGGGAUGUGAAAGCCCUCGGCUCACCCGAGGAUCUGCAUCUCAAACUGCCUGGCUUGAGUAUGGGAGAGGAUGGGGGAAUUCCUGGUGUAGCGGUGAAAUGCGUAGAUAUCAGGAGGAACACCGGUGGCGAAGGCGCUCAUCUGGCCCAAUACUGACGCUGAGGCGCGAAAGCUAGGGGAGCAAACGGG
rnacentral:rRNA from 1 species